UACGGGGGGAGCAAGCGUUGUUCGGAUUUACUGGGCGUAAAGGGCACGUAGGCGGUGAAUCGGGUUGAAAGUGAAAGUCGCCAAAAAGUGGCGGAAUGCUCUCGAAACCAAUUCACUUGAGUGAGACAGAGGAGAGUGGAAUUUCGUGUGUAGGGGUGAAAUCCGUAAAUAUACGAAGGAACGCCAAAAGCGAAGGCGGCAUCCUGGACCGGUAUUGACGCUGAGGCGCGAAAGCUAGGGUAGCAAACGGG
rnacentral:rRNA from 1 species